rnacentral:rRNA from 1 species
GAUGAACGCUGGCGGCGUGCCUAACACAUGCAAGUCGAACGUGAGGGGAUAGCAAUAUCCCUGAAAGUGGCGAACGGGUGAGUAACACGUAGGUAACCUGCCGCGCAGAGGGGGAUAACGACUGGAAACGGUCGCUAACACCGCAUGGUACUAGAAAGGGGGACGUCUUUCUGGUUAAACCUUAGGUGCUGCGCGAGGGGCCGUGCGUCCGAUUAGUUAGUUGGUGAGGUAAUGGCUCACCAAGACGAUGAUCGGUAGCUGGUCUGAGAGGAUGAUCAGUCACACGGGAACUGAGACACGGUCCCCGACUCCGUACGGGGGGCAGCAGUGAGGAAUAUUGCACAAUGGACGCAAGUCUGAUGCAGCAACGCCGCGUGGAGGA